CACUUAUAUUCAUGAUAUUUCCAUAUGCGAGUGUGAUUGUAAACACAAGUUUCUGAAAACAGUGCGAAAAGGGGCAUUACGCAAAGCCAAUAAAUCUGCGCAGAUUUUUGUCAAUAUUGACAAUAAACUGCAUGUUUUCUUACCGUUAGUAAUCCGACAGUCCGUUGGUCACAUUGUGCAUUAGUCCGUUUAAGUUAUUAUUGCCUUACACUUUUCAAUAUAAAUUUAUGAACUUUAAACAAAAUAAGUAACUAACUAAGUAACUAUUUAACUGACUAACACGCGCGUUUUUUUUCCCAAUAUCCGAGACAUUUUACUUUCGCACCUUGCCCUCAAUGUCUGGCUUUUAAAGUUUACCGCCUUUUUGCGAAUACAAUGACGUUUACAUAUGAAUUGCCCAAUGAAAAUUUCGGCGGGAUGACGUCAGGCGCCAAAACUGGCGCGUGGUUUUUCCCGGUAUAGACCCAGUGUGUCAACGCUGUAAAUGCAUUGUGGGAAACGGACUAUUUCCAGCAUGGCGCCCGUAAAGAUUAUGAACACGGAAGUAAAAAUAGUAAUAAAUUAUUAUCAAAAACAGGCCUCAUCAAACCGGGUCAGCCAUGAUAUAUUCUUGGAUGCAGUUUGUGCUUCAAAAGGAGCUACUUUUCAUGCCAGCCUAUCGAUACUAUGUGGGAACUGGGAUUCGGGAUGCUCUCCCACUGGUAUCAUAUGCAGAUCAGUGGUCACAAGAACGUACACAACAUCAUUAAUGUCAGCAAUAUAUAUCUCCAACUUCAAACACACAGCUUGCAAAAUCGCUGAAUAUUGCACAAAAGCAGCUUCGUUACAAACUUCCAGCAACUCGAAAUCCACAAGCAGUCUCGUUCCCCACCCACUUUGACUUCGUAGCGAAGGCAUGUUUUUUUUGGGAAACCGUUAACAUCUCACAACUAAACGUAUACUACGGAGAUUGACAAGUUGAAAAAUAAAUUACUGUAAUCACUUCCAAUUUGCGCACUAAGUUAAACUCCAGUUCCAGUUUGUCUUUAUUGUUGAAAUGUUACUCUACACAUUCGCUUUGAAAAUAGAGGUUGGCGUGUUGUUGGAAGUACAUGUACAUGUCGAAUGUGUUAUUGUAAAAACUAUUGGUAUUGUGUUUUUAGUGCAGACAUUGUAUUUAAGUUUCGAUUUCUAGCAUAAAUUUAUAUAUUUUGUUAAAUAAUUUGCGUUUGAAUGUGAUUGUUUGUUGCUUACUUGCGAACUAUUUUUUAUGUGUAAAUAUGCAUAGACGCUAGUGGAUAUGUAAUCAGGUUACCAUAUUUACAACAAUAAAAUUUAACGGCUGUU